rnacentral:rRNA from 1 species
GGUUCGACGGCGGCUCAGAUUUCUCGAACGCUAUGGGAUGUUUACACAUGCAAGUCGAACGGCAGCACGGACUUCGGUCUGGUGGCGAGUGGCGAACGGGUGAGUAAUGUAUCGGAACGUGCCUAGUAGCGGGGAUAACUACGCGAAAGCGUAGCUAAUACCGCAUACGCCCUCUGGGAAAGUGGGGACCUUCAAACUUCGCACUAUUAGAGCGUCAGGAUAUCGGAUUAGCUAGUUGGUGGGGUAACGGCUCACCAAGGCGACGUCGAUCCGCAGCUGGUUUGAUAUCGACCAGCCACACUGGACCGAGACACGGCCCAGACUACGGGAGGCGCAGUGGGGAAUUUUGGAUAAUGGGGAAACUCCUGAUCCGCGCCAUCCGGCGUGUGCGAAUAAGGCCUUCGGCCAGGCAAAGCACUUUUGGCAGGAAAGAAACGGCACGGGAUAAUACCUCGUGCAACUGACGGUACUCGCAGAAUAAGCACUUUACAAUUCAUGCGCCAGCAGCCGCGGUAAUACGUAGUGCAAGCGUUAAUCGGAAUUACUGGGCGGAAGCGUGCGCAGGCGGUUCGAAAGAGAUGGGAAAUCCCAGAGCUGAACUUUGAACUGCAUUUCUUUGAAUCACUGAGCCAGAGUAAACAGGGAGGUGGAAUUCCCGCGUGUAGCAGUGAAAUGCGCAGAUAUGCGGAGGAACACCCGACGGCGAAGGCAGCUCUGGGAUAAACACUGAUUGCUCAUGCACGAAAGCGUGGGGAGCAAACAGGAUUAGAUACCCUGGGCUCCACGCCCUAAACGAUGUCAACUAGCUGUUAGCUUCGCACCCUGGUAGCGCAGCUAACGCGUGAAGUUGACCGCCUGGGGAGUACGGUAUUCGUGAUUAAAACUCAAAGGAAUUGACGGGGACCCGCACAAGCGGUGGAUGAUGUGGAUUAAUCUGGAUAACGCGAAAAACCUUACCUACCCUUGACAUGUCUGGGAAAUCCCGAAGAGAGAUUUGGGAGUGCUCGCAAGAGAACGGACACAGGUGCUGCAUGGCUGUCGUCAGCUCGUGUCGUAAGAUGUUAAGCCAAGUCCCGCAACGAGCGCAACCCUUGUCAUUAGUUGCUACGAAAGGGCACUCGAAUGAGACUGCCGGUGACAAACCGGAGGAAGUGUAUGACGUUGGCGUCCUCAUGGCCUUAUGGUAGGGGCUUCAAGACGUCAUACAAUGGUCGGGACAGAGGGUCGCUAACCCGCGAGGGGGACGCCAACCCAGAAACCCGAUCGUAGUCCGGAUCGUGUAGUCUGCAACCUCCGACUGCGUGAAGUCGGGAAUCGCUAGUAACUGUGAUCAGCAAUGGUCGCAGUAAUACGUUCCCGGGUCUUGUACACACCGCCUGUCACACCAUGGGAGUGGUUUUACCAGAAGUGAUAGAAAUAACCGUAAGGGAGGGCGAUUAUCACUUAUAGGAUUCAUGACUGGGGGUGAAGUCGGGUCAAGGUGCAG